AUCGUUCUACGUCUCAGGCAAUUUUAUGGUAAAAAAAUAAAAAACGUGCGCGCACCGACCUUCCCAAGGUCGUCCACUCGCGCGCCGGGACCCGGGCGGGAUAUUAAUGGGAGGUUGAAACUCGCUGUGGAUUUUAAGGCUCUUUUUUGAUCGCCCUCGCACGUAUGCAGUACAAUGGCUGUUUAGAAAACAUAAAUUAACGUAUUUAUGUGGGUAUUCAUAUUGUACUAUAAUAGACUCUGAAACUGUAUAGGUCCCAAUAUUUUUAAAAGAAUGUGUAGGUAUAGGAACCACCUGAGUGUAGUUAAUGGAGUUUAAAAUAGCAGACUAGGAAACUCAUCUACUUCACCUUCUUAUCAUGAAAAUAUUUUCGUUUCAGACGGGCUAAUAUGGUCGGCUCUUUAUCAUUUGUCACCAUGCCUGUCACGUUCUAACAAGUAUGUAAGUGCGAAAGUGACGUAUAACAUGACAGGUGAUAAAAAUGCGAUCAUGAUACCGCUGCAGUCGUUGAAAAGCUGAAAGUAAAUGAGCACGUUAUGUAGGUACGAGUAGGUAACCAUAAUUUUAACUAGCUGACGCUAGAUUUUAAAGAUUUUAGUAGUGCAGAUAUUCAACAAUGGACAUUAUAUUUCUUCAACUUCAUUCUUUUAAACUUAUAAAAAUACAUUAAUUAAUUCUUACAUAUUAUACAUAUAUUAAACAAUACAUUUACAUGAUUUUACUUCUGUCCUGUCAACUGUUCAUGCAUGGCACGAUCUUCAAACCAUUGCACUUAUUUAUCUGAAGGUCAAUUUCAGUUUGCUGAAUAUAUGGAAAGAUUCAUCCCCAAUGAUUUUAAUUAUAACGGCUGUUGUCCUCAGUCAAGGAAGUGUGGUCUAGUUCCUUUAAUUUCCUGACUAUGCCAUUGAUUGGAAUCAUGAUGUAUAACGUUCAUCUUCUUCGUUCUAAUGCAGCGACCAAAAUCAUCGCCCGCGCAGUCUUUAAUUACAGUAAAGCUGGUGCUACAUGCAUUGCACUGGCUUCAUUUUUAGGGUUUUUAGUAGUUUAAGGACGUACCCGGGUCCAAAAUGUCAUUUGAUCGUGUUUAGUUGGAAUAAACGAUAAAUGUCAUAGGUACAUUGAGUCGUAAAACAGGCAAUCAUAAUAUUUUUAGGGACGGUUAAUGAAUUUAAUUUCUCUGAUUCUGUGCCAUUUCGUAUUUAGUUACAAUAACAUUAAAUACCUAAGUUUUUGGGAAAAUAAAAACAUUUUUAGUACAAGCUUUUAUCGCUGACUGUUCUCUUCUUUCCACAGACAACUAAUACUCAUCGUGACAAUUCUUACAACUCCAACCACAAUUAGUUUGCGUUCUUUUAUCAUAGAGUUCCCCAUGGCCACCUCCUGUCUCCAUCAUCAGAUCAGCUCGAUGGUACCAUAAUCUUGCAUUGUCACCCGACUUACAUAUGUAUGCAAAUUUUCAACUCAAUCGCGAAGUAGGUCAAAUUUAGCUUCGAAGAUUUGACCCACACACAUAAAUACUAACAGGGCAAGUUAAACAAAAGCUUGCAAAUAAAUAUGAGGACCCAGCGGCUUUUAUAUUGGUUCUCAUUAUGACAAGGUUCUAAAUGGUACAGAAUUCAAAUUCCUUGACUGUACAAAGAAUUGUUGAUCGGAAGAGAACGUUUAAUCGAAAAAAGGUAAAAGUGUAAGGAAAGAAAAAAUAAUUCCAGAGAAAUGGGCAGAAUAAUUUUUCAAAAUGUUAAAUGUUUAACUACCUAAGAAAUAGUUUAAUAUGAGCUGUGUAUAAGCGUAGGUAAUGUGCAAUGAUAGCAUUAUGUCGUAAGAACAACUGUCAGGUAUAUGCAAUCUCUAUUGUUGCGUUCAUUUCAAUGCCGAUGUGUUAACAAAUUCAUUCUUAACUAAAAAUAUGUACCUACUCUACUUAAACAAAGUUAUCAAUAUCAUCGUACAU